rnacentral:rRNA from 1 species
UAGGGAAUCUUCGGCAAUGGGGGGAACCCUGACCGAGCAACGCCGCGUGAGUGAAGAAGGUUUUCGGAUCGUAAAGCUCUGUUGUUAAGGAAGAACGAGUGUGAGAAUGGAAAGUUCAUGCUGUGACGGUACUUAACCAGAAAGGGACGGCUAACUACGUGCCAGCAGCCGCGGUAAUACGUAGGUCCCGAGCGUUGUCCGGAUUUAUUGGGCGUAAAGCGCGCGCAGGUGGUUUAGAAAGUCUGAUGUGAAAGCCCACGGCUCAACCGUGGAGGGUCAUUGGAAACUAAUAAACUUGAGUGCAGGAGAGAAAAGUGGAAUUCCUAGUGUAGCGGUGAAAUGCGUAGAGAUUAGGAGGAACACCGGUGGCGAAAGCGGCUUUUUGGCCUGCAACUGACACUGAGGCGCGAAAGCGUGGGGAGCAAACAGG